rnacentral:rRNA from 1 species
CAGCAGCCACGGGAACACGAAGGGUGCAAGCGUUAAUCGGAAUUACUGGGCGUAAAGCGUGCGUAGGCGGUUUCUUAAGUCUGCUGUGAAAUCCCCGGGCUCAACCUGGGAAUGGCAGUGGAUACUGGGAAGCUAGAGUGUGUCAGAGGAUGGUGGAAUUCCCGGUGUAGCGGUGAAAUGCGUAGAGAUCGGGAGGAACAUCAGUGGCGAAGGCGGCCAUCUGGGACAACACUGACGCUGAGGCACGAAAGCGUGGGGAGCAAACAGGAUUAGAUACCCCGGUAGUCCCUGUCUCUUAUAA